rnacentral:rRNA from 1 species
CGCGUAGGUGGUUCGUUAAGUUGGAUGUGAAAUCCCCGGGCUCAACCUGGGAACUGCAUUCAAAAACUGACGAGCUAGAGUAUGGUAGAGGGUGGUGGAAUUUCCUGUGUAGCGGUGAAAUGCGUAGAUAUAGGAAGGAACACCAGUGGCGAAGGCGACCACCUGGACUGAUACUGACACUGAGGUGCGAAAGCGUGGGAGCAAACA